rnacentral:rRNA from 1 species
CGACCGCAAGGUUGAAACUCAAAGGAAUUGGCGGGGAGGCACACAACCAGUGGAACAUGUGGCUCAAUUCGAGACGAACCGAAGAACCUCACCAGGGUUUGACAUGCAACUGCAAACCUUAUGAAAGUAAGGCGUCUUAGAGAGUGUUGCACAGGUGCUGCAUGGCUGUCGUCAGUUCGUUCCGUGAGGAGUGCCCUUAAGUGGGACAACGAACGCAACCCCCAUCGUAUGUUACACGUAUCAUACGAGACCGCCCCCGAUAUAUCGGGGGAGGAAGGAGGGGCAGAUGUCAAGUCAGCAUGGCCCUUAUACCCUGGGCUGCACACAUGUUACAAUGAGAUGGACAGAGGGUCUCGCGAACCGGCAACGGUAAGCAAAUCCCUUAAAUCAUUUCUCAGUGGGGAUUGAAGUCUGCAACCCGACUUCAUGAACGCGGAAUUGGUAGUAAUCGCAGAUCAGCUAUGCUGCGGUGAAUACGUUCUUGCCUCUUGCACACACCGCCCGUCAAGCCAACAAAGUCGGUAAUAUCUGAACCUCGAUGUAUUUCGGGGGAGGGUAUCGUCGGCGAUGAGGGUUAAGUCGUAACAAGGUAUCCGUUCUGGAAGGAGCGGAUGGAUCACCUCCUUU